CGCAUUUUAUUUUGGGUAUUGGUUUAGCCAUAGGCGCGCCUGAUACCCCACAGGCGCCCUGAAUCAAAGGGACGCCACCCGCAGUACGCAAACCCCGGUCGGCCUCCCGCCCGGGGU
rnacentral:sRNA from 1 species